rnacentral:lncRNA from 1 species
CCUGGCUGCUGCACAGGUGUUGUGCAUGUGGAGCCUAUCAAAGGGUGGGGUUGGGCAUCAAGCCCCAGCUGGUAGUCCUCGUUAUUGCAGUGCAGGAGGGAGGCCUGGGGGCAGAGGUGGUUAUGCUUGAAGAGGAGGAUGGGUGCCUUGCUGCCUGCCUGCCCGCCCGCCAGGAUGUGCAGUGCCUGGGAGAUCUUUCUCAGGGUAAACUUCCAGUCACAUAUAAAGCAAACAAACAAACCAAAAAACCCACAAACAACGAGAUGCUGGUCUUUCACAUGUAUCAGAAAUAAGGAGCAGAAAUCAAAUGUCUCAUGCCAGUCUGGAACUGAAUGA